GGCAAGGGUGAAAAGGUGGGGUAAGAGCCCACCGCCACCAGGGCAACCUCGUGGGCAAUGUAAACCCAAUCCGAUGCAAGGCGAAAUAGGAAACCGGGUGGCCCGCUCAAUGGUUUCGGGUACGUCGCAUCCUCACCUAGAGGAAUCAAUGUACGCAUUGAUAGAUAAAUGAAUGACUAUUCAGGUCCUCAGCGAUUUGGGUAACGGAAUCCGGCUUAUAGCUUCUCGGAAUUC
rnacentral:RNase_P_RNA from 1 species